UUCGCAAUGCCCGAAAGGGUGACGAAGCGACGCCGCGUGUGGGAAGAAGGCCUUCGGGUUGUAAACCACUGUCGGGAGUUAAGAAAUGUAAGGGUGUUAAUAGUAUCCUUACUUGACUAAGGCUCCAGAGGAAGCCACGGCUAACUCUGUGCCAGCAGCCGCGGUAAUACAGAGGCGGCAAGCGUUGUUCGGAAUUAUUGGGCGUAAAGAGCACGUAGGCGGCCUUGCAAGUCAGUUGUGAAAGCCUUCUGCUUAACGGAAGAACAGCAGCUGAUACUGCAAGGCUAGAGUGCGGAAGGGGAGAGUGGAACUUCUGGUGGAGCGGUGAAAUGCGUAGAUAUCAGAAGGAACACCGGCGGCGAAGGCGACUCUCUGGUCCGUAACUGACGCUGAGUGUGCGAAAGCUAGGGGAGCAAACGGGAUUAGAUACCCCGGUAGUCCUAGCCGUAAACGAUGGGCACUAAGUAGAGGGGUUUU
rnacentral:rRNA from 1 species